rnacentral:rRNA from 1 species
CUACGGGGUGCACCAGUGGGGAAUAUUGCACAAUGGAGGAAACUCUGAUGCAGCGACGCCGCGUGGAGGAUGACGCAUUUCGGUGUGUAAACUCCUUUUAUAUGUCAAGAAAAUGACGGUAGCAUAUGAAUAAGCACCGGCUAACUCCGUGCCAGCAGCCGCGGUAAUACGGAGGGUGCAAGCGUUACUCGGAAUCACUGGGCGUAAAGGACGCGUAGGCGGGUUGGAAAGUCAGGUGUGAAAUCCUACAGCUUAACUGUAGAACUGCACUUGAAACUUCUAAUCUAGAGUAUGGGAGGGGGAGAUGGAAUUAGUGGUGUAGGGGUAAAAUCCGUAGAUAUCACUAGGAAUACCUAAAGCGAAGGCGAUCUGCUGGAACAUUACUGACGCUAAGGCGUGAAAGCGUGGGGAGCAAACAGGAUUAGAUACCCCGGUAGUC